CCUACGGGUGGCAGCAGUGGGGAAUAUUGCUCAAUGGGGGAAACCCUGAAGCAGCGACGCCGCGUGAGGGAUGAAGGAUUUCGGGAUGUAAAGCCCUAUUAGCAGGGAAGAAAAUGACGGUACCUGACGAAGAAGCGCCGGCUAACUACGUGCCAGCAGCCGCGGUAAUACGGAGGGGGCAAGCGUUACUCGGAAUUACUGGGCGUAAAGGGAGCGUAGGCGGGAGAACAAGUCAGAUGUGAAAACCUAGGGCUUAACCGUCGAACUGCCUUUGAAACUGGUUCUCUAGAGUGUAGGAGAGGUAUGCGGAAUUCGUGGUGUAGCGGUGAAAUGCGUAGAUAUCACGAGGAACACCGAUUGCGAAGGCGGCUUGCCGGAUUCUAACUGACGCUGAUGCGCGAAAGCGUGGGGAGCAAACAGGAUUAGAUACCCGGGUAGUC
rnacentral:rRNA from 1 species